CCGUCGUGAGACAGGUUAGUUUUACCCUACUGAUGGAGGGUUAUCGCAAUAGUAAUUCAACUUAGUACGAGAGGAACCGUUGAUUCAGAUAAUUGGUAUUUGCAUCUGUCCGAUCGGGCAAUGGUGCGAAGCUAUCAUCUGCUGGAUAAUGGCUGAACGCCUCUAAGCCAGAAUCCGUGCUAGAAGCGAUAACGUUGGUCCCGCACAUGCCUAGUGUUGGAAUAGAGCUUUGCUCGUACACCAUACAAGCCGCGUGCAGCCGGAAGGGGUAGCGUGGUUGAUUGCAAUGUAAACAUGCGCGGGGGGAAAUCCUUUGCAGACGACUUGAAUGGGAAC
rnacentral:rRNA from 1 species